AACCCAGACGCUCAGCAGCCCAGCGCUUGUAGCUGAGAAAGCGAAGCAAUUAUGCAAGGAAUUGUCCAAGAAGUUAAAAGGGGGAUUAUUGUCUGAUUACAUUGCAAGAAACACAAGAGACAUUUAGAAUUACUGUGGGAGGCUUCCAGGGCAUAAUUAGCACAGGUUUAAUUAGAGCACCAGGUCUGGAUCAAGAACAUAGUAUUAGAUAAAUCUACAAGAGAAUUAAACGUGUAGGCAAAAAGCCAAGGACAGAAUGUUUAAGGAUAUCUAUACUUUGGAGACGAGAGAAGCAAGAAAACGAGAUUAAGAUGCUGACAAAAAGAUGGAAGAAGAGUCAAAGGAUAGAGUUUACAGAAUUCAACAAAGUAGGAGAAGAGGAGGAUUAAAUUAAUUGUGGAAUGGAUCAUUAGAGUGAUUUCUAAGGGAUUGCUGAUGUUUUUCAUUUAAUCAAAAACAUUAAGUAUCUACCAUGUGCACUGUCUUUUAG